rnacentral:rRNA from 1 species
UACACACCGCCCGUCACACCAUGGGAGUCGUUUGCUCCAGAAGUACCUGCACCAACUCGCAAGAGAGGUAGGGUCCCAAGGAGUGACCGGUAACUGGGGUG